rnacentral:rRNA from 1 species
UACGGAGGAUCCGAGCGUUAUCCGGAUUUAUUGGGUUUAAAGGGUGCGCAGGCGGGAGAUUAAGUCGGCGGUGAAAUUUUGCAGCUCAACUGUAAAAGUGCCUUCGAAACUGGUUUCCUUGAGUGUAGAUGAAGUAGGCGGAAUUUGUGGUGUAGCGGUGAAAUGCAUAGAUAUCACGAGGAACUCCGAUUGCGCAGGCAGCUUACUAAACCAUAACUGACGCUCAGGCACGAAGGCGUGGGGAUCAAACAGGAUUAGAUACCCCUGUAGU